UGGGGAAUUUUGGACAAUGGGCGAAAGCCUGAUCCAGCCAUGCCGCGUGAGUGAAGAAGGCCUUCGGGUUGUAAAGCUCUUUUAGUCGGAAAGAAAAGAUCAUAAUGAACAAUUAUGAUUCAUGACGGUACCGACAGAAAAAGCACCGGCUAACUACGUGCCAGCAGCCGCGGUAAUACGUAGGGUGCGAGCGUUAAUCGGAAUUACUGGGCGUAAAGGGUGCGCAGGCGGUUUUGUAAGUCAGAUGUGAAAUCCCCGGGCUUAACCUGGGAAUUGCGUUUGAAACUGCAAGACUAGAGUGCAGCAGAGGGGAGUGGAAUUCCAUGUGUAGCAGUGAAAUGCGUAGAGAUGUGGAAGAACACCGAUGGCGAAGGCAGCUCCCUGGGUUGACACUGACGCUCAUGCACGAAAGCGUGGGGAGCAAACA
rnacentral:rRNA from 1 species